rnacentral:rRNA from 1 species
GACGAACGCUGGCGGCGUGCUUAAUACAUGCAAGUCGAACGGAAAGGCCCGGCCUUUGUGCGGUGCUCGAGUGGCGAACGGGUGAGUAACACGUGAGUAACCUGCCCUGGACUUUGGGAUAACUUCAGGAAACUGGGGCUAAUACCGCAUAAGAGCUCAUGCUGCAUGAUGGGGGCUGGAAAGUUUCGGCGGUUGGGGUUGGACUUGCGGCUUAUCAGCUUGUUGGUGGGGUAGUGGCAUACCAAGGCUUUGACGGGUAGCCGGCCUGAGAGGGUGACCGGCCACAUUGGGACUGAGGUGCGGCCCAGACGCCUACGGGAGGCAGCAGUGGGGAAUAUUGCACGAUGGGCGGAAGCAGGAUGCAGCGACGCCGCGUGCGGGAUGACGGCCUUCGGGUUGUAACCCGCUUUCGCCUGUGACGAAGCGUGAGUGACGGUAAUGGAUAAAGAAGCACCGGCUAACUACGUG